rnacentral:lncRNA from 1 species
GUUUAGUCAAGUGUGGGACUUAUGGAACCAAUUAAGGGUAUAAAGUCUUGUAUUAUAAAUAACAGCCAUUUUAUGGUAGGCUAUGAACAAUACUAAAAACUUAAAUGAUCUGAGAUUGAAUAACAGGUACAUUAGAGAGAAAUGAUUCUAUCUUCUUUGGAAUUCUGCAAACAGAAAUAUAGUUCAAUUUAUAUGUUUCUUCCAUGGGUACUGAGUGAUGUAUGCAGUUUAGCAUGCCAGAGGUGUCUGUAAAUCUGCUAAGUAUGUGGCAAAAAAUGAAGACAAACCCAAUUCUUUUUAUGAGGCUAGCAUGCUGUUAGUAGCAAAUGAAUCUUCAUAUGUACACUUACUGUAGCUUCUGCUUUCAGUUUUACACCGUGACUGAUAUUGGACAAAAGAAUGGGUAUCUGCCCUUCAGGAGAAUUGGAAGCAGAGAUUGUUAUAAAACACUUUCAAAGGUUGGAGCUAUAAGGUCUUCCGCUUUCUAUCCCCUGUGACCUUUUGAAACCACACAUAAUGAUUGCUUCUGCCUCUUUGAGGGAGGGGAAAAAAUCUUUCAUG